CUCAUCAGUACCAACACAAGUUUUUGAAACUUGGUUAGUGAAGUUUUAAUGCUGUCAGUAAGGUAGCCUUCAAUGAAAUUAUAGAGCACCAUUAAUGGGUAAACCUGUAAAAAAAACUGGGUAAACCUGUAUAAAAUCUGACUUUUUUCUCAUCAUGCCUAAGUGUGUCCAUGAGUAAUAUUGUCAGUAAGCAGUCUCUGGUGAUCAGCUUGUAUUUUGGAGCACACUUCAGAUGUGCACGCAUCUUCCUCAACAGUCUCAAAAGCAUCCAUAACCUCACUGUAAGCCUCCCUGGGCUGUCUUGCUCCUGUGCCACACUCCCUGAACUUGAUGCCUGUGUUCUUUGCUGCUGCACCCUAUUGUACCUAGCCAUUACACAUCCUUUUCUGGGUCUCUUUUCUGGGAAGUCUGUUGCUCUCUCAGCCUUUAUCCUAGCUGAGGAAGUGCUGGAUCUUCCACUGCUAACAGUUUUAUGUGACCGUUCGCUGCUGAUAUUAGACACGCUGUCGUUUUGAUUGACACCAUCCCCACCCUUGCCAUUUUCAUGCACAGCUUUAAAACCCACAUUUGCUUUAGGCCUCCCAUGACCAUUUACAUUUAAACCAACAUCAAACAUUUCAGGUGACACAGUUGACAAAGCAACAUUAGAACACCACUUUUUAGAACACCUUGCAACAAAGCCCUUUGUUUCAGACAUGACAUCAUUAUUAGCUAUCAUCUUUGCUUUAAACCACACUUCAUGUUUUUCCUUUUCAUCAACAGGCAAUAAACUCAACAAAGACUCAUGAAUACGCUUUGCAUCAUUACAUGUUUCUAUCAGUUCCUUCAAAGCAUUUUGUAACUGUGGUUUUUGAUUUUUUAAAUCUUGCAUUGAUUUUCUAAUUAUGCUGGCGUUAUCCAAUUUAGACUUUCUAUCUGCUUGCAACGUAAUUAGUUUAUCAACAAGCAAUUCUGCACGUUUAGAAUCCUUGUGAUCACCAACAUUAACACUGCUGGGUUUACUAACAGCUUGCAUUGCAGUCUGUUCAAUCGCGGGAGAUUGUUUAUCCAUAUUAAACAAUCGAUCAAACGAUUCGCUUCUAAGUCCUUAGGUCUAACGCAAAGUUCACAAAGUCAUGAAACGUCUCCGGUCAAUCUGCCGGUAUUUAACACGUGUGUUUGUUUGUUUGUUUUUUUUUUUUUUUUUAUACCCAGGUAUAUGUGUGCACACAAUUUAAAAUGGCCAUUAAGGAUGGUAGCGCUACAAAUACCUCUUUCAUUGGGCGCCGUGCCGUCAUCAGAUGGUCCCUCGUAACGUUACUCCGUGGUCUGAUUUCGGUAUCAAACCAACUCCCUGUCACCAAAAAGCCCACGUAAUAUCCAAACAAUAAUCCACAAGAAAACCGACGGCUCUUCGACUGCUCUCAAUUCCAUGCAUGCAUGCCGAAGACUCCGACGUUUGUAAACAAAGUCCGAACUGAUGCGGGGGUUUUGACUAAUGUUAAGGAGUUCGCUUUGGUUCCGAACUACUUAGAUGUCUGAGCCCGCAGAAGCCGUGAUUGACACACUUUGUUACUAUGCUCACUUGAUUGCCCUGUGCUAAACCAAAAACGUAUAGACGAAUGUUGACGUUGAAAUCCAAAGUGGUCCAUUUAUUUUAAUACAGCACUGUCCAUAGCAGUUUCCAUCAGUGUAACAAUACAAAGCGCCGCGCGCAAGCGGUCAAAAACCCUUUGCCCUUCCGGGUCAAACACCUGUAGACAACAUUGUAUCUGCUGCCUUUAUACCUGAGGCCAAGUUACAAACAUGCGCCACCCAGUGUUAGACAAAGAAAUUACAACCCAAUUACAAAGCAGCAUUUGGCUCUAACAAUAUGUAAAGCAAGUUGGUGGAAGCAGCCCUUUUCUCUCUAGUAAAUCUAAUAGAAUUUGAGAUGCAAGCCUCACCAGCCAAUGGAAGGAGAGCCUCUCAGCAGUAUGCCUGAAUAACAAUACAGUUAGUACAGCAUUUCCCAUAAGACACACCAGAGAAUUUAAGCUGUGUUACAUUCUUAUGCUGUUAUACUACAGCAAAGCUAGUUUGACAGGUACAGUGAACAGGCUGUUAUACCGAACCUGUCUUGCUCUUGUUCUGAUUGUGAAUUUAAAUUUCCUUGUCUGCCUGGUUAUUAAUAUGGAAUGGAACUGUACACAGAUUCUACUUUACAUCAGUGACCCACAAAUACUGAAUACUUUGGACUGGAAAAGCUUUCUGAUUUACUCUGUUCAAAUGA
ensembl:lncRNA